rnacentral:rRNA from 1 species
CCUACGGGAGGCAGCAGUGCGGAAUAUUGGUCAAUGGACGAGAGUCUGAACCAGCCAAGUAGCGUGAAGGAUGACUGCCCUAUGGGUUGUAAACUUCUUUUAUAAAGGAAUAAAACGAGGCACGUGUGCCUUUUUGCAUGUACUUUAUGAAUAAGGAUCGGCUAACUCCGUGCCAGCAGCCGCGGUAAUACGGAGGAUCCGAGCGUUAUCCGGAUUUAUUGGGUUUAAAGGGAGCGUAGAUGGGUUGUUAAGUCAGUUGUGAAAGUUUGCGGCUCAACCGUAAAAUUGCAAGUGAUACUGGCAGUCUUGAGUACAGUUGAGGUAGGCGGAAUUCGUGGUGUAGCGGUGAAAGGCUUAGAUAUCACGAAGAACCCCGAUUGCGAAGGCAGCUUACUAAACUGUGACUGACAUUGAUGCUCGAAAGUGUGGGUAUCAAACAGGAUUAGAUACCCUAGUAGUC